GUAUAUUGUUUUAUAGGCUUAGAGCCCAUUGACUACAUUCUUCAUUAUACGAUUGGGGUGUAUAAAGUACAUAGACCUGGAAAUUCAAAGAGAGCCGGUCUUGCGACACGGCAAUCCCUGCAUCCGCUUGUGAUAAGCGAGAGUUACCCAGAUCUACAUUUGGUGCACAGGUGGAAAGAUAAAAAUGACGGGUGUGCACAUGCUCCUAGAAGCCAGCUACAACCAACGCCAUAGAUAUUCAUUAAUGAUCCUUCCGCAGGUUCACCUACGGAAA
rnacentral:misc_RNA from 1 species